GGGAACAUAGCUCAGUAGGUUAGAGCAGUACUCUUAUAAAGUAAAGGUCAGAGGUUCAAGUCCUCUUGUUCCUA
rnacentral:tRNA from 1 species